AAUAAGUGGGAGGAGAUGAAGAGACUAUCCGAAACAAAAAUUUAAAAUUUAAGAGUAGAAAAGAUCUAACCAAUGGGAUGCAAUCCAACAGACAAGAAUGUCAUAUAGCAAUGGGCAAUAAGCAUUGAUCAAUAUCCAAGCAUCAUGAAGAUCAAAGCAUCAAAUAAAGAUAGCCAAAUCCAAGCAAGCAUUCCAAUAGUUAGCAGUCUUCAAUGUCUUCCAAUGUAUCAGAUGAAAUAUUCCUUGAUCA
rnacentral:lncRNA from 1 species